AACGUGAUAUCUUCAAAUAUGCUUUAAAUCCAAUCAGGUCUUUCCUCUUUCACAUGAUCAUCAUUUCUCAUCCAGCUCUUGUUGAACAGU